rnacentral:rRNA from 1 species
AACGAACGCUGGCGGCAUGCCUAACACAUGCAAGUCGAACGAGACCUUCGGGUCUAGUGGCGCACGGGUGCGUAACGCGUGGGAAUCUGCCCUUGGGUUCGGAAUAACAGUUAGAAAUGACUGCUAAUACCGGAUGAUGUCUUCGGACCAAAGAUUUAUCGCCCAGGGAUGAGCCCGCGUAGGAUUAGCUAGUUGGUGGGGUAAAAGGGCCUACCAAGGCGACGAUCCUUAGCUGGUCUGAGAGGAUGAUCAGCCACACUGGGACUGAGACACGGCCCACGACUCCUACCGGGAGGCGAGCAGUGGGGGAAGU